rnacentral:rRNA from 1 species
UUCCAGACUCCUACGGGAGGCAGCAGUAGGGAAUUUUCGGCAAUGGGGGGAACCCUGACCGAGCAACGCCGCGUGAACGAAGAAGUUAUUCGUAAUGUAAAGUUCUUUUAUCAGGGAAGAAAGAGGAAUUUGACGGUACCUGAGGAAUAAGCUCCGGCUAACUACGUGCCAGCAGCCGCGGUCAUACGUAGGAUCCGAGCAUUAUCCGGAGUGACUGGGUGUAAAGAGUUGCGUAGGUGGCAUAGUAAGUAGCUAGUGAAAUCUGGUGGCUCAACCAUUCAGACUAUUAGCUAAGCUGCUAAGCUCGAGACCGUUAGGGGUAACUGGAAUUUCUAGUGUAGGAGUGAAAUCCGUAGAUAUUAGAAGGAACACCGAUAGCGUAGGCAGGUUACUGGGACGGUUCUGACACUAAGGCACGAAAGCGUAGGGAGCAAACGGGAUUAGAUACCCGUGUA